rnacentral:rRNA from 1 species
AUUGAACGCUGGCGGCAUGCCUUACACAUGCAAGUCGAACGGUAACAGGUCUUCGGACGCUGACGAGUGGCGAACGGGUGAGUAAUGCAUCGGAACGUGCCCAGUCGUGGGGGAUAACUACUCGAAAGAGUAGCUAAUACCGCAUACGAUCUGAGGAUGAAAGCGGGGGACCUUCGGGCCUCGCGCGAUUGGAGCGGCCGAUGGCAGAUUAGGUAGUUGGUGGGAUAAAAGCUUACCAAGCCGACGAUCUGUAGCUGGUCUGAGAGGACGACCAGCCACACUGGGACUGAGACACGGCCCAGACUCCUACGGGAGGCAGCAGUGGGGAAUUUUGGACAAUGGGCGAAAGCCUGAUCCAGCAAUGCCGCGUGCAGGAUGAAGGCCUUCGGGUUGUAAACUGCUUUUGUACGGAACGAAAAAGCUUCUCCUAAUACGAGAGGCCCAUGACGGUACCGUAAGAAUAAGCACCGGCUAACUACGUGCCAGCAGCCGCCGUAA